UACGGGGGGGGCAAGCGUUGUUCGGAAUUACUGGGCGCAAAGGGCUCGUAGGUGGCCAACUAAGUCAGACGUGAAAUCCCUCAGCUUAACUGGGGAACUGCGUCUGAUACUGGAUGGCUUGAGUUUGGGAGAGGGAUGCGGAAUUCCAGGUGUAGCGGUGAAAUGCGUAGAUAUCUGGAGGAACACCGGUGGCGAAGGCGGCAUCCUGGACCAACACUGACACUGAUGAGCGAAAGCCAGGGGAGCAAACGGG
rnacentral:rRNA from 1 species